UACGUAGGGGGCAAGCGUUGUCCGGAAUUAUUGGGCGUAAAGCGCGCGCAGGCGGUCCUUUAAGUCUGAUGUGAAAGCCCGCGGCUCAACCGUGGAGGGUCAUUGGAAACUGGGGGACUUGAGUACAGAAGAGAAGAGUGGAAUUCCACGUGUAGCGGUGAAAUGCGUAGAGAUGUGGAGGAACACCAGUGGCGAAGGCGACUCUUUGGUCUGUAACUGACGCUGAGGCGCGAAAGCGUGGGGAGCAAACAGG
rnacentral:rRNA from 1 species